rnacentral:rRNA from 1 species
CUACGGGGUGCACCAGUGAGGAAUAUUGCACAAUGGGGGGAACCCUGAUGCAGCAACGCCGCGUGGAGGAUGACGCAUUUCGGUGUGCAAACUCCUUUUAUAUGUCAAGAAAAUGACGGUAGCAUAUGAAUAAGCACCGGCUAACUCCGUGGCCAGCAGCCGCGGUAAUACGGAGGGUGCAAGCGUUACUCGGAAUCACUGGGCGUAAAGGACGCGUAGGCGGGUUGGAAAGUCAGGUGUGAAAUCCUACAGCUUAACUGUAGAACUGCACUUGAAACUUCUAAUCUAGAGUAUGGGAGGGGGAGAUGGAAUUAGUGGUGUAGGGGUAAAAUCCGUAGAUAUCACUAGGAAUACCUAAAGCGAAGGCGAUCUCCUGGAACAUUACUGACGCUAAGGCGUGAAAGCGUGGGGAGCAAACAGGAUUAGAUACCCGAGUAGUC